AGGCGAAACGCCGGGGUGACCCGGCGUCGUCGGAGGGUGAUGCCUCCGGCCUGACGAUGCCAGUUACAG
rnacentral:hammerhead_ribozyme from 2 species